rnacentral:rRNA from 1 species
AUUGAACGCUGGCGGCAUGCCUUACACAUGCAAGUCGAACGGCAGCGGACCUUCGGGUGCCGGCGAGUGGCGAACGGUGAGUAAUGCAUCGGAACGUGCCAUUGAGUGGGGGAUAACGUAGCGAAAGUUGCGCUAAUACCGCAUAUUCUGUGAGCAGGAAAGCAGGGGACCGCAAGGCCUUGCGCUCUUUGAGCGGCCGAUGUCAGAUUAGCUAGUUGGUGAGGUAACGGCUUACCAAGGCGACGAUCUGUAGCGGGUCUGAGAGGAUGAUCCGCCACACUGGAACUGAGACACGGUCCAGACUCCUACGGGAGGCAGCAGUGGGGAAUUUUGGACAAUGGGGGCAACCCUGAUCCAGCCAUGCCGCGUGAGUGAAGAAGGCCUUCGGUU